UCCCAUACCCUUGUCCCACUCUGCGUGCUGUCAGUCCCCAGUCCCCGCACAAACCCGGUCUCUUUCUCCCAAUCCCCGCCGAGCUUGUUCCUCCGGCCACCGCGCAAGGAGCCCCGUCGGUUAAGCCUGCAAUUAGCAUGGCACUCACGUGACCAUGGAUGGGCUAUGAAGGAGGAGGAGCCAUGAUAUGGAUCUGGCGGCCACUUGAAGCCUCCGCCUGCGGCGUCAUACCGUUGCCGGGGUGCCGCGCAAGAGGUCAGGGUCCGCCGCCACCGCGAACCAGGGGACGCCCAUUGGCAACCCUUCGUGCAGGAAGCCGAUGUGGAGCAUGGCGUCAACAAGUCGCCAGGAGGAGCCCCAUACGCCAGCCGAGCGAGCACCGGUUGCGAGGUCGGCCUCGCUGCUCCAUCCCAGCAGGCCGGCCGAGCUGCUCCCCUCCCCCCACACCGUCCUACCGGACCUCCCCUGCUCGUCCACCCCAGCGAGAAGACCCCACCUCCUCAACCGUUGGUCGUGGGUGGAGAAGAGGCUGUGGGGUGAGCAGCUCCUCGGCGUCGGACAGAGACGAUGGAGGUGAACAGCGGCGGCGGCUGACGAGAGAGGAUGGAGGAGAAGGGGAGGGGUGCUGCGUCGUGGAUCCAAGUACACUUUUUUAUCGGAGGGAGUAUAACAUAUUACCUUUGUGCUCUUCGAAUUUUAGUAUACACUUGCGAAACAAACAUGUCAUUAAUAUCAGUGCCUAAGAAUCAUUUGUUUUGGAUUCUAAUUUGUUCAGCAGAGGGCGAUCAAUAUAGAAGAGAUAUAUACACAAAUUUCCCUAGGUGCAGCAUCUUCUACUGUCCAAGCCUCCAAGGUAAUUCUCAAGAAUUUGUGUGCUUGCUUGUCCAAAAUGCAUAUGGUCCAACUUGGUUCGUUUUGAUGGGUUCUGAAUUUACUCCAAUUUGGUCACUUUUCAAAUUCAGUUAGAUAGCAUUGUCUUCUCCCUGAGCAGCAAAAUGAAGGUCACCAAUGCUGUGCGGUAGGCUAAAGGACGCCUGCCUCUGUGCCCCUCCCCAAACUACAUGGUCUGCUUCAGCUUGCAUGUUGCCACUUCCUCUAUUCUCAUUGCUUUUCUUUGAUUAGUGUAAUGAUCCACACUGAACGUGUAUGAAAAUGUUUUUGCUGGGGCAUUUUUGCACCAAGCCAAUUGGUCUGCUUUGUUGGAACAAUUGAUUGAUAGUAUCUUCAUUGGAAGUUAUGCCAGGAGCAUGCAUUGGGUGGUAUAUUUUCGCCAUUGUUCGCGCCGCCGAAGCUUGGCUGGGAAAGUUUAUGCCCUUUAUGUAUAUUAAUGUUUAGCUAAAGACAUGGAUCUCUUGAUUUUGUGGAGAUGCAAAGCAGCUCCGUAGGUAGAGGUAUGUAAUUAGUCAGUACAUUUUUAAACUAUUAGUUCAUCUUCUAAAAAAAUAUUAAUGUACAGGUAGUGUAUCUAAAGUUAGGAUCUUUCUACAUUGCACAACCAAGUUUCCAGCCUAAAAAUAUUUUAUCUAAAAUGUUAUUAGUUUCCAAUGUCCUGCUUGAUGUUACAUGGUGUUCAAGAAAGAAUUAUGGGCCAUUUUGUCAUGAAGCAUGAGAAUGAUAAUAUCAACUCAGUUGGGGAUAAGCAAAAAUUAAAUAAAUACUCCCUCCGUAAACUAAUAUAAGAGCGUUUAGAUUACUAAAGUAGUGAUCUAAAUGCUCUUAUAUUAAUUUACAGAGGGAGUACAUGAGAUGUGAUUAAUGAAAUAGGAAAAUGUCCUCUUCUCUCGAUUAUGCAUCUAUGGAAUAAAGAUUAGUGUAGAUUAGUGUAGAUGGUCAUUUAGAUUACUAAAGUAGUGAUCUAAAUGCUCUUAUAUUAAUUUACAGAGGGAGUACAUGAGAUGUGAUUAAUGAAAUAGGAAAAUGUCCUCUUCUCUCGAUUAUGCAUCUAUGAAAUAAAGAUUAGUGUAGAUGGUCAUUGUACAUCUGAAGGGAAACUUUACUGGUCAUGUUCUUCCCCCUUUUCAGUUCACAUGAUCAGUGCAUCCUCUUUAUACUAUGUAGUGCUAGGCUACAAAUUGGUUUUCUCUUUACUGCUCCAGCUGGAUUAUAUCUCAAACUUCCCUUGUUCCUAUGCUGAGAUUCUCCUAGCCAGUGGCAAAGGUACAUACUGCCUCUUCUUCUUUUUCCUUUGCAUUUUUCUUCGAUUGGAAGGAGUGGAUUACUGCCGCCAAUUUCUUGGAUGAAAUGAAGAGAUGCAAGAUAUGUAUGUUGUCAUGUCAGUUAUUUUGUUUUGCAACAAAAUGGAUAGUUCAUGUAUUCCCCACCGAGCAAGAUUUAUGUCUAAACUUAUGUCUGUGCUUCAGAGAUUUUCUUAUUAUGUUUCAAUUCAAGAGACUUGUGUCAUAGAGGCGAUGAACAGGUGGUGCUUAUUUUGCAUUUGUUGAUUAGGGAAUUUUGAUGAAGCAAUGUUUUUUUGGAAUAGCUGAUGAGUGCUCACUUCUACUGUUCCCCAAAAGACUAUUAAUGAUUUUUCCAGUGCUACACAUUGCAUGUUUGCCACAAGCUUAGAAAAUCUUCGUCUUAGUUUGCUAAAUGUUCUUUCUUACCAAACUAGCUUCAGGAUGAAUAGCAGGUUUAUUAACCAUUUGAUCUUGUUUGUGCAUAGCAGGUUUGCUGCUAAGUCUAUUUAAGUAUUUUUUUGCAUGAUUAUCCUAUGGAGCCAUGAUGCUGAACCAAUGAAUUUAGAGAAAAUUUAGUAUGUUUAUGGAUCACUACAUGUUCUGUUGGAACAAGGUGAGAUCCUUUUUCCAGUAACCAUUUGAACACGUGUCAUGCUUUUCGAACAUAACUGAACAUCUGGAGCAGCCAUGGUGUACUGGUGUUUAUAUUUUUGAAUUGCAAGUCAGCAUCUCUAUGUUUCAUUGGCUAUUAUAAUUAUGUACUCCCUUGUUAGAAAGUUAGAAGGAUUUCUUAUUGUGAGUGUAAUCCUUGGUAGCUAAAACCUUUUGUUGUUUGAUAAGAAUAUUUGUUUCUUAUAGUUGAUUGCAUAAUAGGUGCCUUGUCGCCACCUCCAGUCUUUUGAAUGUAAUUAUUUGAAAUGUUCUUUGUCAUAUUGCUUAUGAAUAGAUACAGGGCUAUAUUUUUUAUGUACUAUACUAUCAAGUGUGGAUAAAAACUACUUUGAUCCUCCCUUUGGUUUCUCCAUCAUGGAUGCAUAUAUGCAUUUAUUGUUCAUGUCGCAUAAUAAUGAUUGAAUUAGUUUUUACACCUUUUAACCUUAGUUCAAAAUUAUGGCUCUACAGGUGUACAUAACCAGUAAAUUGUGUUUUUUUGUAUGUGUGGAAACCUUGGUGUUGGACGAAUAUAAUCAGUGUUGUGGUGACACAUUCUGGUGCCGCCGAAAUUUGGCACUCUGACAGUUACCAUUUCUUUUGUCGUGUUCUAUCAGCUGCCAAAAUGUCCAAGAGACGCGAUGUGGGCACAGAAAUUGCAGCUGCUCUCAAAGCACAUGCAAGAUGUUACAAUAUUAUUCCCUAUCUUGAUUUGUAUAUGGCACCCAUGAAAUUUGAGAUCUUUUCUAAUGUUUGACCAAUAGAUAAUCAAACAAUAUAAAGUUUUGGUGAAAUAUGACCCACAUCAAAUUGGAAAUGAGAGGAUGUGAUUUGGUGCUAAUUUUCCACUUUCAGUUGAUGGCCUUUGUUGUGGUUGCACCAUGGUCUAUGGGGAACAGGAAUGAACACCUCUGCUACAACCGAGUAUGUAGAGUUCAACUAAGCCAUAAUGAGUGUGGAGGUUUAUUUUAUCUAUGUUUGUACCCAUGCAAAUCUUGAAUUGUUUACUUUGAUGGUCUAUCGAUUGUCAGAAUAUAGUAUGUUGUGUUCAACAUGCUCACAAAAUUGUAUAGAAGCUUUAGUGUUCAACAUUAUUGACUGUCUAUGUCAAAUUCAGAUUAACUCUAUGGACUAGCUCAUUCAAGUAUUACAGUUUGUUUUCUGGAUUCCGUUUUUGUUCUUGUAAAAGUAGUCAUACGCCCAUCUUCAGAUAGUGAUCUUAAUGAAACAUUGCA